UCUCGAUAGCGUAAAACUAAAAUUUGUAUGGAGUUGGAACGUUUGCUUAUGUUUGCCACUAGGGGCGCUGUUCCAGCUGCAUACAAAUUUCAGUUAACUUUUACGCUAUGGA
rnacentral:pre_miRNA from 9 species